UACGGAGGGGGCAAGCGUUGUUCGGAAUUACUGGGCGUAAAGGGUUCGUAGGUGGCCUGCUAAGUCAGACGUGAAAUCCCUCAGCUUAACUGGGGAACUGCGUCUGAGACUGGUGGGCUUGAGUGCAGGAGAGGAACGCGGAAUUCCAGGUGUAGCGGUGAAAUGCGUAGAUAUCUGGAGGAACACCGGUGGCGAAGGCGGCGUUCUGGACUGCUACUGACACUGAGGAACGAAAGCCAGGGGAGCAAACGGG
rnacentral:rRNA from 1 species